GUUCUAGGCUGGACCUACAAAGGACCUGAGAAUGUCCUUUUUCAUCCAAGAAGGUCCGGUAGAUUCCAGGACACAUUGAGUAUUUGAAUCUGCCCUCAACUGGCCUCCGCUUUUUCCCAAGAGAAUCUGGGGUGACCAAGAUGCUGGGGCACCCUUGACCUCUGUCAUCUGAACUCUUAGGACAGUGUCUGUCUCCCAAAUAUUCUCAGCCUUGAGGUUGUCCCUUCUAACUUGGGCUGAAGGGGCACUAACAUUCCAGCUGACACCUGACAGAUGAAACCGUGCUCAGAGGGAGGGACUGAAGCACCGCCCUCACUGCCAGCCUCCGGCUGGGGGCCAUGAGCCUGUGACGACGCUAAAACAGCUGUCCUUGGUGACUAUAACCCCUUCUUCAUGAAGGAAAUUAGGGUUCAAAUAAGUCAUCUCCUAAAUCUGACCCAGGUACACACUGGCCCUCCAGGAGUUUGAACACAGCGCUGCCCGACUCGGGUCAGGACUGGCACCGGGUUCACGCCGACACCCCCUCCGCUCAUCAGACCCCCGUACACAGUCUCAGUCCCCUCUGAGGACUCAGGUAUGUUUCCAGCUGUGUGCACUGCAUUCUCCAGAAUGGACCACGCAAGUCACCCUCGAAUUAAAGCGGAAGAGUUUAGCGGAGCAAAUCCAAAGCUGUGUGAGAAGACAUCUGAGCAGAAAACCCUCUGAGAGGCGACCCCCUUCUCUCCAGCACGAGAUCUGUCCCACCCGACCUGAUGCUGACCUUGGGACCCAAGGCCUGAAGGGAACAACUCGGACUCACCGGCCACAGAGGGGCGGGGCUCAGGCAGAGCCAGGGUUCGACAAGGGAAAGGGGCUGAAACGCAGUCCAUACAAAUGAGCGAGUGACAGGUACCUGGUGGGCACCUGGGGGGUGCCUCUCACCACUUCUUGGAACUGAACUCAAGAUUUUGUUUUCGCCAGUCUCGUGAGCUGUGUUGAGGUGGACAUUGAACCAGCCGUGUGAGCAACAGUCUGUGUUUGCAGGAGGACGGGCUUUGGGGGACACCAUCCGCCGGCCCACCGGCCCCCCGGCCUGGUAGUAGCCUGGAUAACUUCCGCAGAGACUUCCAGGGAUGCUGUUGGUUAGAGGACCACGAGUCUGUCCUCUAACCCAGCUCCAGGGCAGGGACUGACUCCAUUUCUCUCUGUCACUGUGUUUUAUUGCAAGUGGGAAUGGGAGCGGAGCCAAGGAGGAGGGAGAGCGGACUCGGGUUACUCAACAGGGAAGUUUCUUGGCUGAAAAGUUAGUCUUCCCAACGCGGUGACCUGUGCCAGAGCCUCCCCUGUGACAGCAAAGGGCACAGGCGGAACCACCCACAGCGCUGCGGAAAGGUGCAGAGACGCCCUGGGCGUGGUCUCCUGCGCUGGCUGGGCUGAGGCUUCCUGUCUUGUUCAGAAAAAGGAAGAGCCGGAGUGAGUGUGCGCGUGUGAGCUCCACACUGUGUGUAAAAGCAAUGCGGGGUCCGUGAGGAAAAACUGGAGAAUAAAAUAAAACUGGCCUAGGGUUCUGUCGCCUGCUGUGACCGCGCUCAGCACCCUGUUGCAAGCCCUUCCGAGCAGUUUGCCAGGCCUGAGUGGUGAGCUUCCCACCUGACAUGGCACCUGUUUCCCCAGGACAGCCCUCAUCCUUCCCGUCCCGGGUGCUCUGGUACCUCCCUCAGGCCGGUCUCCAUCCUUAGCAUCACCCGCCUCCUACCAGAGACGUGAUUUAUCAUGUGCUGUCUCCCAGCGAGUCCCCUGCAUCUUCUUCAGAUGCCCUGAGCCUUCCAUAAAGCCACCUCUUUGCUUAUGCAUUCAGAUCCCUUUUAGCAAUUGCCUGGGAAAGCCUCAAACCUUAAACAAUGGAACGGCCUUCCAGUCCCAGGGGAAGCUGGAGGACAGUCAGCCUCAGAGCCAACUCCUCCAACAGAGCAGCCCAGGGACAAGUUGGGGGUGCUCCCGACCCUGGGCCUCUCGGAGACCCUCUGCCCAGAAUUCUGUUCCCUGAGCUGUCUUCUGUGGCUGCCCUUGACCAUCAGCUCUUCCGUCAGGGCUCACUAAACGCAGCAAAAACAUCUGCCGUUGGUCUCCAUGCCCCAUGCAGGAGUGAUAGAGACAUUCAUCUCUCUUUCCUUUUAGCCUGUAGGGUUUCUCACAUAGUAAAUGCUCAAUAAAUACCUUCUAAAUGAAAGAAUACACAAAUGAAAACACUCUACUUUCCCCUCUUCUCCAGCUCACCAAGGUCUUUCACCUACAGUGUCAUAUUUGAUUCUUCUAGCACAUCUCUGUGAUGUGACUGGGGACAGUGUUUCAGCUAUUUUAUGUAUGCUCUCAGCACCCUGGGGCGGGGGAAACUGAGGCUCACUGUGACCCCUGACCUGUGUGUUUCCCACACUGGCCACCAACACAGCUCUCAGAGUGGAAGGUGCUGUCAUCCCCAGAUUUCCUGGGACACUGUGGCCGAACAUGUCCUAUGGAAGCAUGGCAUUUCUAUCAAGUCUCCAAAAUUCAUCGUGAAACUAUCUCGAAAUCUGUGCAGACUGAGCGCUUUGCUCCCUUACCUGUCUGCUUCGAUACUCUCUUUCUCAACAACUUACCAAUUUUCUAUAAAUUAUCUAGCUCUCCGUCUCCCCUUCCCUCAAGUAAAGCCGCCACCCCAGAAAAUGCCUGCUGCUCACCUUGAGAUGCCCACAGCCUUCCUGCACCCCCAGCGUCUCGGAGGGGCCGUACAAACCCAAUCACAGAAGCAACAGGCUGGUCCGCUCUGUCCGCCAAAGCCAGGGCUCAAUGGAGUUGCCCCUCGUUCGUCCGUAGGUGGGACAAGAGGCACCAAUGGCUGUUUCCGGUCAAGUUCAUGAGCAGGGGGCCAGCUCUGAGGUUCCCCUCCGAGGUCUGGGGUCCGCGCAGGUUUGAAGACAUUUUACCAGCAACAUUGAAGGAAACUCUCCCCAACGCUCCCAGACACCUCACCACACACCCACUGCCAUGUGCGUCCAAACGAACAGAGGCAACUAAGGGAAGAGAAAGCUUCAUGUCAUCUGAACUCCUGGACCCGCCUGCUCAGCCCCUCAGAGACCUGUGCCACAGUCCGAGGGCAACAAUGGCAACAUGGGAAACACCGAAAGCCUCAACAACCUGUUUUGAUUGAUUUCCCGGAAAAUUGCUGUGCAAUAGCAAGAAUACUGUGUCGUGGUGAGGACGUAAACCACAGACACGCGGCAAGGUCGCGAGCUCCAAAGGCUGAGUUCGGGAAGCACGUACUUGACUUCUUCGGAUGCUUAUCUUCAUUUGAAUCAUCUUUUGUUUCCUCGGAUGUUGAUGCCCCCAAACCGGGUCCCCUUCUUCUGGAGACACCACGCCUGCCGCUAAUUUACGAGGCUGCGCGAAAUCCCAAAAUUACAGAACAUAAUAAACAUGAAAACCAGUGCACAAAGCGUUUAACAUUUCAUCAGUCACUACCUGGGUCUCUGGUUGUUUACGGGUGGGAUGGACAUAGGGAGACUGAAGGUUUGAAGGGAGAGUUCUGUGUAGAAAUUGUCCCCUCUAGACUAAAGCCAUUUUCCAAGAGUUCUGACUUGGGAAAU